rnacentral:rRNA from 1 species
GACGAACGCUGGCGGCGUGCUUAACACAUGCAAGUCGAACAGAAAGGCCCUGCUUUUGUGGGGUGCUCGAGUGGCGAACGGGUGAGUAACACGUGAGUAACCUGCCCUUGACUUUGGGAUAACUUCAGGAAACUGGGGCUAAUACCGGAUAGGAGCUCCUGCUGCAUGGUGGGGGUUGGAAAGUUUCGGCGGUUGGGGAUGGACUCGCGGCUUAUCAGCUUGUUGGUGGGGUAGUGGCUUACCAAGGCUUUGACGGGUAGCCGGCCUGAGAGGGUGACCGGCCACAUUGGGACUGAGAUACGGCCCAGACUCCUACGGGAGGCAGCAGUGGGGAAUAUUGCACAAUGGGCGGAAGCCUGAUGCAGCAACGCCGCGUGCGGGAUGACGGCCUUCGGGUUGUAAACCGCUUUCGCCUGUGACGAAGCGUGGGUGACGGUAAUGGGUAAAGAAGCACCGGCUAACUACGUG